rnacentral:rRNA from 1 species
GAUGAACGCUGGCGGCGUGCCUAAUACAUGCAAGUCGAGCGAACAGACGAGAAGCUUGCUCUUCUGACGUUAGCGGCGGACGGGUGAGUAACACGUGGAUAACCUACCUAUAAGACUGGGAUAACUUCGGGAAACCGGAGCUAAUACCGGAUAAUAUUUUGAACCGCAUGGUUCAAUAGUGAAAGACGGUCUUGCUGUCACUUAUAGAUGGAUCCGCGCUGCAUUAGCUAGUUGGUAAGGUAACGGCUUACCAAGGCAACGAUGCAUAGCCGACCUGAGAGGGUGAUCGGCCACACUGGAACUGAGACACGGUCCAGACUCCUACGGGAGGCAGCAGUAGGGAAUCUUCCGCAAUGGGCGAAAGCCUGACGGAGCAACGCCGCGUGAGUGAUGAAGGUCUUCGGAUCGUAAAACUCUGUUAUUAGGGAAGAACAAAUGUGUAAGUAACUGUGCACAUCUUGACGGUACCUAAUCAGAAAGCCACGGCUAACUACGUG